rnacentral:tRNA from 1 species
UGGCUCAGUUGGUAGAGCAUGGUGUUUGCAACGCCAGGGUUGUGAGUUUGAUUCCCAU